rfam:Synechocystis sp. PCC 6803 DNA, complete genome.
UUUAUUUAACUGGCUAUGCCAAAGACCGCAGGAGCAAUUAGGGUUGCUUAAUUAACCUGCCGAGGUUGAAGCCUGAAUCAAGAUUUGAGUUUGUUGGGGAUUUGCUUCCUUGACAGCUUUUGAUCCUCUGCUUCAGCCCCGGCGAUCGCCAAGGGGCAUUUUUAUUGUGUGU